UACAGAGGUCUCAAGCGUUGUUCGGAUUCAUUGGGCGUAAAGGGUGCGUAGGCGGCGCGGUAAGUCGGGUGUGAAAUCUCGGAGCUUAACUCCGAAACUGCAUUCGAUACUGCCGUGCUUGAGGACUGGAGAGGAGACUGGAAUUUACGGUGUAGCGGUGAAAUGCGUAGAUAUCGUAAGGAAGACCAGUGGCGAAGGCGGGUCCUC
rnacentral:rRNA from 1 species